AGAAUUUGCAAAGCAGAGUUUUACACAACGCGACAGUCACAGACGGAUGCUAUGAGUGUAUCCACCCACGUACAUGGCCUUUUAGUUGGGUCAUGUGUGCUGUAAUGCUUUUACCAAAGACUGACAUAUACUAAUGGAUCGGGAAAAGUAGACUGACAUGGCUCUCGUCGACGAUGGAAAACGGCGAGUUCUCAACCGGUGGCUAUCCUCGACUAAGGAAACAUCGAUUUCUCUCUCGCGGUGGCGAUUGUUUCUCAAAGGAAUCUUAAGAUGGAUGAAGAGGCAUGAUUCAUAUCAAGCUACAACAAAAGGGCUACGACUAUUCAGACAGUUCGGUGGGUGUUAUGAAGCCGCAACUAGAGAGAAAAGUAGCGGAUGCAAUGAGAAUGAUGUCCUGAAAAGAGAUCAUGACAAGAAGAAAUUCACCCUUGAGCAUGCUUGGAAGGAGUUGCGGAACGAUCAGAAGUGGUGUGACCUUGCCACUGCCAAAAACGAUGGAGGCUCUAAGAAGAGGAAGUGUGAUGAUGGUGCAGAUUCAUCAAGCUCUCAAGCUACUGAAUCAAAGCAUCCCGCGGGUGUGAAGGCUGCAAAGGCCCAUGGUAAGAAGACUAUGGCAGAGGAGAAUGCGCUGAAUGAGUUUCAGAGAAUGUGGGACAUUAAAUAGCAGGACUUGGCAAUAAAGGAGAGGUUAUCGAAGAUGAGUCUACUUGACUCUCUUAUUGCAAAAAAAGAACCUCUAGCCGACUAUGAAGAAGCCCUCAAGGAGAAGCUCAUCAGUGACUUAAUGUCUAAUUAGUUUAAGUGUCAAGCAGAGGGAGCAAACAGACAUAAGGAGUAGAGUUUUAGUCUUGUGGUCUUGUCGUGGAACAAACAGAGACAAGGAGUAGAGUUGUGGUCUUGUGGUCUUGUCGUGGAGCAAACAGAGACAAGGAGUAGAGUUGCAGUCUUGUGAUCUUAUCGUGGAGCAAACAGAGACAAGGAGUAGAGUUGUAGUCUUGUGUCACAGAGUGAAAGAGUUGUAGUCUUGUGUCACGGAGUCUCGUUCAUGCAUGUUGUCAGGAGUCUUGUUUUUUUUCAACGUGUAUUGUUGUAAUCUUGUGUCACGAGAUGAAGUACCAAAUAUCAUGGUUUGUUCUUUCACAAACUGAUUCUCUAUAUAAAGUCUCGUUGUACU